rnacentral:rRNA from 1 species
AUUGAACGCUGGCGGCAGGCCUAACACAUGCAAGUCGAACGGUAACAGGAAGAAGCUUGCUUCUUUGCUGACGAGUGGCGGACGGGUGAGUAAUGUCUGGGAAACUGCCGGAUGGAGGGGGAUAACUACUGGAAACGGUAGCUAAUACCGCAUAACGUCGCAAGACCAAAGAGGGGGACCUUCGGGCCUCUUGCCAUCGGAUUUGCCCAGAUGGGAUUGGCUAGUGGGUGGGGUAACGGUUCACCUAGGCGACAAUCCCUAGCUGGUCUGGGGGGAUGACCAGCCACACUGGAACUGAGACACGGUCCAGACUCCUACGGGAGGCAGCAGUGGGGAAUAUUGCACAAUGGGCGCAAGCCUGAUGCAGCCAUGCCGCGUGUAUGAAGAAGGCCUUCGGGUUGUAAAGUACUUUCAGCGGGGAGGAAGGGAGUAAAGUUAAUACCUUUGCUCAUUGACGUUACCCGCAGAAGAAGCACCGGCUAACUCCGUG